CCCUACUUCACGAAAACUCCUUCAUAUAUACUACCGCAUCGGCCUCUCUCCGUUUUUCUAAAAAUUACAAACCCUAGACCACCAGAGAGCUUGUUCCGAUCUCGCCGGAGUUCCGCCGUCGCGAACUCAAAGACGAGAACCACGAGAACACGCAGGCGAGGCCGCCGGAAUUUCGCCGGAACUUCGCUGACUCCAGCCGGGAAUAGCAACUGCUCAGGACGACUACGACAGACUCCGUUGACGCACGCGGCACCACCAAGGAGAGGAGAACCCCGUCAAGGUCUUCGCCAAGCCGGGAAGCACCAGUACACCGUCGCCUUCCACAUCCGACCACCACGUUCAUCUCCGUCUUCGUCCAUCUGAUUUAUUCGGAGUGCGCGAGAAAGUUCACAAAGAAGAAAUCAUCAUCAAAUAUUACUAAGG